rfam:Loxodonta africana unplaced genomic scaffold scaffold_10, whole genome shotgun sequence.
UCCCUGGUGGUGCAAAAGGUUAACACACUUGGCUGCUAACCUAAAGGUUGGUGGUUCAAAUCCACCCAGAGGCA